CGGACGGGUGAGUAAUGUCUGGGAAACUGCCUGAUGGAGGGGGAUAACUACUGGAAACGGUAGCUAAUACCGCAUAACGUCGCAAGACCAAGGAGGGGGACCUCCGGGCCUCUUGCCAUCGGAUGUGCCCAGAUGGGAUUAGCUAGUAGGUGGGGUAACGGCUCACCUAGGCGACGAUCCCUAGCUGGUCUGAGAGGAUGACCAGCCACACUGGAACUGAGACACGGUCCAG
rnacentral:rRNA from 1 species